rnacentral:rRNA from 1 species
UACAGAGACUGCAAGCGUUAUUCGGAUUCACUGGGCGUAAAGGGUGCGCAGGCGGCCAAGUGUGUUAGGCGUGAAAGCCCGGGGCUUAACCCCGGAAUUGCACCUAAAACUACAUGGCUAGAGCAUUGGAGAGGGUAGCAGAAUUCAUGGUGUAGCAGUUGAAAUGCGUAGAUAUCAUGAGGAAUACCAGAGGCGAAGGCGGCUACCUGGACAAUUGCUGACGCUCAGGCACGAAAGCGUGGGGAGCAAAAGGG